CCCCCGUGUGCUGGCCCCACGGCCACGGACGUGUCCCCAGGCUGGGCUGGGCUCUCUGCCGUCCCUUCCUCCCCGCGGAGCACGGCCGGAUCCUGCCCACCGCCACCCCGAGUGGUUUGCCCGCAAGCGCUGCCUGCCCAGCAUCCUCUGCCCCGUGUUCCCUACCCCACGGGGAUGCUCUCUGGAAAGCUCCAGCACAAAGAAGCUGCACGGCGGCCAGGAGCGUGCGGAGCCCGGCGGUUCCCGAGCCCAGCCCUCCCCUGGAAAUCAGAAACCUCAUCAAGAAUAGGGCUCGAGACAGGUAAAUGGAUUCUUGCCUGAUUUUCAAUGCUCCUGGAAGGAAAUGUAGCCAAAAUGCUGGUUUACUUCUUUGUCUUGAAACCACCAUUUUCUCCUAAACCUGGUGAUCUUAGGUAGGGGAUUAGAGGAGAGGCCGGGGCCAGCGCCCCUCCAGGGUGCUUCAACACAGCCCUUCCCCCUGCAAAGAGUUAACCUGACAGAUGCUACCCGGGCUCCUUUUGGGGAGCCAUUUUCUCUCGCUCAUUGUCUCACCGCCUUUUGUGUGUGCAAUUACAUCCUGCCCCGGGGAGCCAGGAGGAGCCCAGAAAUAAUCAGGUUUUUAGUCGUUUCUGGGCUUGCAGGGAGAUUUCCCCCCCCCGCCCCGCCUUCUGCCGGGGCUGCCCAGGCUGCCCAGCCCCAAGAGCUGCAGACAAAGGGAGGCAGCACCCGGCACUGCCUCGGCAGCAGCAGAGCCUGGGCUAUGCUGGAGCCUGGUGCUCUGCUGGCUGGCAGCGAGGGAUGGGGAGUGCUGGCAGGGCCAAGGGCAGGGGUGCUUUGAAUCCGCUGCGGGAGCUGGGGGGUUGGGGGUGCCCAGAUGCUGCAUAUCACAGAUUGCCCCUCCGGGCACGGGCAGCAGAGUAGCCAACACUAUGCCUGCAGCACGGCAGGAGCACACAGGCAGCUCACGGUGGUGGCAUGCCUGCCAUGCACAGGCAGCUCGCCUGCUGCCCUCACCUCCCUGCUCCUGCCUGCAGAGGAGCUUGCACUCCCCUCCAGAUUCCUCUUUGCUUGAGGGGGCUUUUAGCUGCCGUUUAAUCUGAAUGCUGCACCUAGGUGCUCAGCCCCAGGGCACCGUACAUGCCACCAACCCCCUGUGGCAAUAGGCAGCUCGAGCUCAUGGCUGCCAUACACAAGACGUGUGUUUGGCUAAGCGCUGCUCAUGCAAAAUUGUUUUUCACCCCCCUGCCUCCUGGGAUGUUCUUCAUUGCGGGUUGAGAGAGGCCAUCCUGCAGCAGCCAGGCUGUGCAGACGCGUCCUGCCUGCCCCACCACAGGCACCUCCUGCUUGGAUCCAGGCAGGGAAUCCAUUUGCCAGAUGCUUGAUGGCAUCUUGGGUGCCUGCCACUGCCCAGCCCCCUGCUGAGUCUGAGCCUGGCUCCCACUGCCCAGUCCCACAGCAGCUGGUUUGCAAAUGCUGUCUGGGCAUGCUGUCCCCGCAGGAGGGACUGUCCUGCAGGCAGCACCUGCAAUAUGCGGCGAUAAUGAACUAUGGGAAGCAAUAGCGGCUCCACAGCUGAACUGCAGACUCAUCACGGCCCAGCUCCCCUGGGACCUGUUGCCAUUAUGGCUUUUCCAUGCGGGCAGGGCAGGAGGAAUGCGGGCAGGCACAGUCUGGCUGCUGGCACCAGCUGUGUGCGCCCACACCCCUGCAGAUGUGGAGCAGCACCCACCGCAGCACAGCUGUGACUGCCACCCACUCCACUACAGCCAGCACCUGCGGCACGUGCAGGUACGAGUGACCCAGUUCAACCACAGGGCAGAGGCAGAGGCAGCAGUGGCAGUGAUUAGUGGCAGUGGCAGAGGUGGCGGGGCAGAGGCACCAGCAGUGGCAGGCAGUCCCAGCAGCAGACAGGGACAGAGAGUUUGGGGCGUUGCCACCAUUCUGGUGUGUUCUUCCCAGUGCCCCCGGGCCUGGUGGCAGUUCUGGCUCCCCCCUACGCUGCACGGGGACAGGCACAGGAGGGAGAGGUGUCAUUUCCUUGGGCACUGGGUGCCCCUGAGCAAAUGGCAGGCAGCCAAGCAGACCCACAUGGGGGGUGAGUACAUAUUCCCAUGGGGACCUCCCCCAUCUCUGUCCUGCCUGCCUUUGUCGCGCUGCUGCCCACAGCAGAGCUUGGCACCAGCUGCCUGCAGCCACACGAGCUGCUGUGAGCAGCUGGGCACCUAGGAGCAGUGCUGGCUUUGGUGGGCAUCCAUGGGGCACAGGGAGCACCUGCUGUAGGGGGCAGCUGGGCCUUGCCAUGCUACCCUUAGGCAGUACCAGGACAGAGGUGUUAGUCUGCCUGAGCUGGGAGGACACCUGGGCUGGUCCCUACUCCCCAGGGCAGCCCAGUGUGGGGAGGGAGAAGAAAUGCAGGGCAGGCUCAGCUGCUGGCAAGGUGUCUCACCCUGCAGAGGUCUUACAUCCCAGUCCUGCAGGAUCUGGCCCUUCCUUUGCACCAAGCUUUGGGCAGCGCCCAGCCACCCUGCAGGGACCAGGAGUGAUGCCAGCAGUGGUGGGGUCCUCAGCAGAGGAUGUUGCCUCAGGAAUUUGAUCCUGAAGGGAUGGGGAGCUGGAGGAAUGGCAGGGGAGCCGAGGAAGGCUCAGCCUGUCUUCCUGCCCACCCUGCCCUGGCCGGCUUUCCUGCCAGGCUUCCAGCAGCACGAUGCAUCCCUCACUGGCUCGGCUUGGCUCCGCCUGGGGAUGACGGCGCCUCGUUGCUCUCCUUUGCUGCGUUGGUUGCUUUCUUUUGCAGCUGCUAAUGACUGACCUGAGGUCUGUUCACACACAGUCCCCUGCACGGCCACGGCAGUGGAGCAGCCAGACAGGACGGGGGGACAGUGCAUGGCACUCGCAUAGCCAGUGACUACAGCACCACCAGCCCCAGGAGCACAGCCCCAGCUCCUGCUCAGCCAGACCGGCUGUGCCCAGAGCGAGGCCGGGGCUCAGGAGCCACCAUUGCUGCCCACGCACGGAUGCCAGAGCUGAGCCAGCCCCGGCAGAGUGACCCAGUGCCAGCUGCCAUGGGCCAGAGCCACGAGCCCGGCUGCUGCGGGGGACAUGGCCGAAGAGACAGUGGUGGUGACACCUGAGGACAUGGGUCUGCAUGAGCGCGUGGUUUUCCUCCAAAGUACUGGGGUCCCCUUCCCUCCUGCCCCUCCAUCCCAGCCAGACCCAGUGCAUGGGUCUCCCUGUGUGCCCUCCCCAGCAAUGGGCAGGGCAUGGGCAGGAUGCCCGUCCUCUUCACUGAAUGCAAUGUAGAAGGAGGGAGAAGGGGAAGGGGACAGGAGCAGAGCUGUGCCAGAUCCUGAAGGAGACAUGAUAGCCAGAGCCCAAAGGAACCCUGGUUGUCUCCACUGAUCCUGCCCAUCCCUCUGUCUGUCCUGCUUUCUGCUCUGGAAGUGCUCUGCACUGCCACGACCUGGCAGGACCCUGACUCUACUCUGCUUUGAGAAAACAAUUGGUUUGUGGAGCAGCCUGGAGCAUGGGGAAGGACAUGGGCAGCACAUCCUCCUCCUGAGAAGCCUGUGGAAUGGUCCAUGUGGGGCCAACAGUGGUCCCGUAAGCAGUUGCGACCAUUGCCUGCCCUGCUGCCCGCUCCAGCAAGGAUCCCCCAAGCAUGUGGGAGGGCUGGGUGUGCAGCAGACUGGGGGCUGAGGGCAGAUACAGCUCAUGGCAGGCUCAUGGCACACAUUACAGCCUCUUGACACCCAAAAUGGAGAAGCAUCCUCAUGGGGACCAGAGGGACCUAGCGCUGCAGGAGGAGGUGAACCAGAGGGACACAGGCCAGAGGGUGCCCUGGGUGCCCCUUCCCAGGCCUUAUUUCUCAGGGCAUGAUGCAGAGCCGCUCGCUGCUCCUGCCACGCCUUGGCAAGCAGCACGGCUCUGCCGCGCGCUCCUGCAGGCAGCCCCGCGGAGAAGCAGCUUCUGAUGGGGAGGGGAAAAGCUAUGGGGCACCUUUCCGCUGCUCCAUAUAGUGGGUUUUCCUUCUGGACCUCCUCCUCCCUCCAUGGGCAGUGGGGGCUCAGUGGAGACCCAGAGCAGUCAUUGCUGUCUCAGCAGAAGCCCUGCUUUUGCAGAGCUACCUGUAGCCUUGCCCCAGGCACCGCCUGCGGUGCUUUCACCCCUUUCCUCUCUGCUUCUUCCAGCUCCUUUAGCGCCCUUACCCCGGAGCCCUGCAAUGCCGAGACAGUCCGGCACUGCUGGGAUUGUCUCCUCCGUGCAGCCUGUCUCUUGUUGCCUCCAGUUCCAGGGCUGGAAAACACAUGUUGUGUGGGGGUACAUGCUGCUCAGGACAUUUUGUAUCUCACCAGCACGGAUGAUAGGGGCAGAUCCCUGCAAAACAUUUAAUUCAGAAAGUAGGUUACAUUACGCAGGCUAAACCCUCUGUUAACACCUUCCCAAAUCUCAAUCCAGUGGCAAAGCCCAAAAAAGCCUCCUGCUCUCUUGAGCCGGACCCCCUCUGCUUCCGCCAGAGCCAAGCAGACCCUCCCCGGGAAAGCACUCCGCUGGCGGGGGGCUAACUGGGACCAGCUCUGCAUGCUGCUGCUGUGCUCCGAUAUUAACCUACUAACCCGCUGGGACCCCUGCCGCCCCCUCUGCGAGGGGUGCUGACGCCCCUGGCAAAUGGACUAACCCACUAACCGGCUCCGGCGCAUGUCCUACUAACCGGCCUUGUCUCACCUCCUACUAACUGCGGGCAGCCAGCGCUGUCUUUAAAGGGGAACGGAAAAGCUGGGUAAGUACAUUUGUAAGUGCCGGGUGUUGCUGUGUUGGUGACAGGCUGCACGGGCAGGGCUGAGCAACCCGAGCUCCUGCAGUGGGCAGGAGAGGCAGCUGGCAGCCCCUGCCCCGCGCAGGCAGCCCUCGCUGGCACGAGGAGGGGGUUUCUUCCCAGCUCACCAUGCCCAGGUCUGCCUGUGGAGCCUGCUGCUGACUAGGAGCCUAAAACAGUUUUAUCAGCAGAAGCUUUUCAGUUCCUUUUUAAGCCAGUAGAUCUCUGUUACUAACACAUUCCUGAACUGAAUUAAACAAACUAACGGUUGCUGCUUUUCUCUUCAUUUCUCUUCCAGUAUGUAUGUCCUCUAAGUCAGACCGAUUGUGCCAUGCUUCUGUUACUAACCACCUGUACUAAUUGUUCCUGACUUGUUUUUCUAUUGCUACUAACAAAUACUCUUUGCACUUCGAUUCUCGGAUGCUAUUCACCAUGACAAAUGAACAGGGGCCUCUUCCUGGACUCUUGGUUAUUAACCAGCAGCAGCCCGAUUUUCAAUGCUGCUGAGCAUCUCUACCUCCCAUUUGGUGCGAUGGAAAUGAAGGUGCUCAGGCUGGGGGGCUUUGAAAAUUUCUCUAUUGGCCUUCUGUUUUCCAAGAAAUUUCAUGUGGCUAAAAUGAAGAAAAGAGGCUAAGUGAAAACAGGGCAAUGCAUAAUGGCCGUAAAGGUCCAGCAAACCCAGUUAGCAGAGAGAUUCACCCAAAGAGCGAUGCUAUUGCCAUGAGCCCUACCAGAGCCUGAGCUUGGGGCUCUCCCGGGGCCCCAGUUCUCUCGUCAUGGGGAAUGGUGUGGUGCUGCUCCCUGCAUCGGUACACAGGUGCCGGGGUGGCUGCAGCGCGCUCCUGGGUUCCUCUCUUCACUCCCUUUGUCUCUCUGCAGUCUAUCUAGUGACCCUGAUGCAUGUGGAAGCCAUUGCUGGCAGCGUGGUCCUGACUAACCGCACAGCGCCGAGGGCUGCGUCUAACCACUGGGUUGGUACUCGCAGGGUCCCCCCAGCCACGAGCCGAACGGGCAGGAGCGGGCAGUGGGUGGUGGAGGAUGAUUCUGCUGCUGGCUGCCUAGCAGAGCCAGGGCGCUGUGAGGCUGGGACAGGGGCACAGCCUGUACUUUGCCUGCCUGUCAUUUGGCUAAACGUCCCCUGCCUCUACAAGGGUUCUGCUGGGGUUAAGGCUUCAGGAUCUGGCCCAUCUGUAUGGGGUUGGCAUGCAGGGUAGUGAUCUGUGGUAAGACGCCCUCAACAGUAAGUGCUGGCUGUACCAGCAGCAGCGCUGCGAUGACCAGUGAGGCAGAACCAAGCCCUGCGUGCCAGGAGAGGACAGUGGCCCUGUGCUGCUGGCCAGGACAGGGGCUGGCUCAUGAGGACAGCCCACACUGUGGCUGCUGGGGGGACACAGCAGUGGGGUGGCUUGGGGGGCGGCUGCCUCAACCAAGGGUCAGGGCAGCUUUGCUCGGGUGGGUUGUACGGUUCCAGACAGCAUCCAGGUCUGGCUGCUCUCUCUUGGCUUUGGCUUGUGCUCACUAACCCCAAGGCAAGGACCUCCCCAGAUAACCCAGUGUUGCUGGUUGGCUUCAGUCUCAGCCAGCUGGUUGGAAGGCAGAGCCAGAGUGGGGUCCCCUGGGCAGCCAGGUUCAUCCUGUGAUGCUGCCCACCUUCCCUUGGCAUCCCUGCUCUGCACUGACUGCAGCCAGGUCGUUCACUGGGGGGUCUUGCUGGUCUCUCACGCUGAUGGGUCUCCCCUCUCCACCCAGCUCCAUGGCUGCCUGACCUCCACCAUAACUCACUAACCACACGCCUCCCUUUCCUCUGCACGACUGGGAUCAGAGGGGAGUUUUGGGCUGAUGCUCCUGUGUUUUGAUUGAAGGAGGAGGCAGGGCCCUGCUGCAGGCUGGGAGCAAAGGGUCAAGCAGAGGUGUGGGGAUGGGAAGGAGCUGGUGGCGGCGGGACAAGCUGGGUUGGGCCCAUCGAGGCAGGCAGGUUCAGGGCUCCUGCACAGAUCAGGAGCACCAUGAGUGUUGGGCUGGCGUUGUCAGAGCCCACCCGUCACAAGGGGCUGCCCUCCCACAGACCCCCCUUUCAGCUCCAGAGCAGCCUUCCAGCCAGCCAUGCACCCACAGGGACCUCCCCAGGCUGGUCACUGAGGGAAGGGAUGGGACUACGAGUCACCCAGAUGGCCCAGAGGAUGCACUGGGCAAGUGUGACCCUGCACAGGCAGCAAGUGUUGCCCAGGGACCCCUUGGUAGGGACAGGCCACCAGUGCUCAUCAGGUGGCUGCGCCCCCCUGCAGAACCACCGGUCCUGGACAGAGAGGGGCUGCAGGGGGGUGAUGAGAAAGGCUUCACAAAACAGCCAGGUUGCUCCUUUGCUCUGCCCUGGCACCUUUGGCCUCUCCACCCCUGCUCCCCAUUUCCCUUGGCUGGGAGAGAAGUCACUCUGUCCAUCUCUCUUUGCUGGUGCCCCCAGAACUGUCUGAAGAGGGGAAGCAGCAGCGCAGGUGGGAUGUGAUGGGCAGAUCCCCCUUUACCAGCUGCAGCGAUGGUAGGCGUGGGGCCAGAUCACCCCAGUAGCGAUAUGGGCAGAGGUCCAGGGAUGGUGCCCAGCCCUGGGGUGCACCAUCCUGCCUAGGGCAUGCUGGCCAGGGCUGGCCAGGGCUGGUCCUGCUCUGCUGGGACCCUGCUGCUGCCCCACACCCAGUGCGGUAGGAGUGGGCACGGCCACAGUGGGGCUGAGUGCUGGCACGGGGCAAAGAUGCUCUGGGGAAGGGGGUCCUGGUGCUGCCUCAGUGGUGCGAGCAGGAGUCCUGUGGGACCCCACAGCCCUGAGGAGUUCCCUACUGCCUGUAAUGUCUGCUGUGAACAUGGCAAGUGUGCAAACAGCCUGCAGUCUGGUGU